UACGUAGGGUGCAAGCGUUAAUCGGAAUUACUGGGCGUAAAGCGUGCGCAGGCGGUUUUGUAAGUCUGUCGUGAAAUCCCCGGGCUCAACCUGGGAAUUGCGAUGGAGACUGCAAGGCUAGAAUCUGGCAGAGGGGGUAGAAUUCCACGUGUAGCAGUGAAAUGCGUAGAGAUGUGGAGGAACACCGAUGGCGAAGGCAGCCCCCUGGGUCA
rnacentral:rRNA from 1 species